rnacentral:rRNA from 1 species
GAUGAACGCUGGCGGUAUGCUUAACACAUGCAAGUCGAACGGUCACUUCGGUGAUAGUGGCGGACGGGUAAGUAACGCGUGAGAAUCUGUCUUCAGGUCGGGGACAACAGCUAGAAAUGACUGCUAAUACCGGAUGUGCCUUAUGGUGAAAGAUUUAUUGCCUGAAAGAGAGCUCGCGUCAGAUUAGCUAGUAGGUGGUGUAAGAGACUACCUAGGCGACGAUCUGUAGCUGGUCUGAGAGGACGAUCAGCCACACCGGAACUGAGACACGGUCCAGACUCCUACGGGAGGCAGCAGUGGGGAAUUUUCCGCAAUGGGCGAAAGCCUGACGGAGCAAUACCGCGUGAGGGACGAAGGCCUUUGGGUCGUAAACCUCUUUUCUCAAGGAAGACACAGGACGGUACUUGAGGAAUAAGCAUCGGCUAACUCUGUGCCAGCAGCCGCGGUAAU